UACAACUGUUUACCUGGAGUUUCCAGAAACUGUACUUUGGACGUUUCCAAUUAUAUCAACUUAUACUACCGCAUAUUUUCUAUCUUACGGCACUCCAGUGACAUCAGAAGAAUCCAUCUCGAGAGAUUGUCGAUUGCCUGGUUAUUUAUACAAAGGAACUACAAGUGUAACAGAAUCAGGUUUUACAUGUCAACGAUGGGAUAGGCAGACUCCACACGAGCAAAACUACAGGGUUUUUAGUCUCGCUCAAGAGAACUACUGUAGAAAUUUUGACAGAGAAGAACCUUGGUGUUAUACGACUAAUUCAAGUGUCCGAUGGGAACUUUGUGGUGUUGACGUUUGUAGUUCGCCUUGUCUUAAUCAAUCAUUUUAUACAUCAGAAGUAACAUCAGAGUGUCUCUCUGCAGAAUCAGAAACUGAUGAAUUCUGCAGUAAGGUAUGGGCUAUUGUUGGCUGUUUGAAGAGCCGUAUUGAAAAAAUUUCUGGUACUCUGUGUUCUGGUAUUGAACCAAAAUCUAUCGCUCUCCACAAUUAGAACACCAUAGAGGGUUUAAUUGGCAAGUCUUUAUCU